GACGAACGCGGCGGCGUGCUUAACACAUGCAAGUCGAACGGAAAGGCCCUGCUUUUGUGGGGUGCUCGAGUGGCGAACGGGUGAGUAACACGUGAGUAACCUGCCCUUGACUUUGGGAUAACUUCAGGAAACUGGGGCUAAUACCGGAUAGGAGCUCCUGCUGCAUGGUGGGGGUUGGAAAGUUUCGGCGGUUGGGGAUGGACUCGCGGCUUAUCAGCUUGUUGGUGGGGUAGUGGCUUACCAAGGCUUUGACGGGUAGCCGGCCUGAGAGGGUGACCGGCCACAUUUGGGACUGAGAUACGGCCCAGACUCCUACGGGAGGCAGCAGUGGGGAAUAUUGCACAAUGGGCGGAA
rnacentral:rRNA from 1 species